CCCGCCCCUGCGUACUGACUAUCUGAACCCAACUCUAUUGAUGUCAUGACGCAGGAUUGGAUU
rnacentral:pre_miRNA from 1 species